ACAGAUAUGUAAAAUGGAAACAAAAACAAGUUUCUGCCCUUGAGAGGAAAUUGUAACACAUGGCAGCAGCAGUAUCUCCCUAAAGAAGAAGAAGAAGAAAAGAUAAAACUAUUGACAUUUAAAAUCUACAACUUCCUCUAAAAGCUGGUACUGGUUAUCACUGCACUUUAUCAAAUAGUAUCCCCAUUUAAAUUGAGAAUGAAGAGGUUCUUGGAUAAAGAACUUGUAAAAAUCAGAAUAAGUAAAAAGAAGAAAUAGAAGAAAAUAAAUUUAGGUCAGAGAAUGCAAUGUUAUAUUUCUAAAGCGUUCAUGAUCCUUGAUGGGUUUGUUCCACUUAGCAGAUGUUCUCUCUUCCUACACCAAAGGCAGAAACUUUCAUCAGUGACUACUCCCCAAAACUGUUUGUGAAGAUGGACAUUUGGCAAGCCAUAAUGGACUGCUCCUUUCCCAGCAGGUGUCAGAUGCAGUCAUCUCAAUAAAGUCCAC